ensembl:lncRNA
CUCGGAGCGGGUGACUCACGGCAGAGCCUGUUUCCAGCACGUCCAAGUUCCUUAAAUCCAUCGCUUUCGUGGCACUAGCGGAGUUUGGUAGAGGUGACAGAUGGAGCUGUUCAUGUCCCAUAACUUCCCUGGCUGCUGCCAGCUUUGUCAUGGAUGUGGAAAGGCCAUUCCAGGAAUAUGGUUGAGGGAUUCAGUGCAAGAAAUGAUACCUCCCCUUUCCAGAUCCCUCCUGAAAACCACUCCAAGAUGCUUCCAAUAAAAGAAUUAUGAAACUAUUCCCAUCGGUGGCCUGUCCUCUACCCGCAGUAGUGACGGAGAAGUUUGCUGGAUUUCCGUCAGCAGAACAGUUUGAGUGUGGACUCAACUGCUGCAAAUUUAGGAAAGCUCUCCAUUUGCUGCCUGCCAGGGAAACAGAACUGUUACGCAUGGCCCCUCCAAGACUUACACAAAACAAGCAGAGCUGAUGUGUGAGAGCUGGAGUACCUGUUUGAAAAACCAAAUGGGCUGAAAAGGAUGUGCUCACUUCUUUCAUAAAAUAUUGUUCUAAUGCGUAGGGAAAAUAACUCACAAGUGAAACCCUGCAGCACACAGUGCAUUUUCUUCUGCUAUGUUUCUUAAUUAAGUGGGGAUGAGUGAGUUUCCUGAUGGUGGAAAGCAGGUCUGCAGAGAAUUACAGGGCACUACCUCAAGAUAAACCCCUUGUAAAUCAGAAGAGAGGAGAUACCAUGGUGCUAUUGAAAGGGAAGGUUCUUGAGUGAAGCAG